AGGAAAAGUUUUGAAUGGUUUAUUCUUAAAUCUAUAAAUUUAAGGUAGAAUUUGAUCAGUUCCGAACUAUCAAAAUUAGUAAAUCUGUGAUACUCUAAUAGUUCCAUAUCGGAUGAAAAUAAAGUUGUUAUUAGAUAUAUAAGAGUACUACACCAUAAUAAUAAUAACUGAACUUAACCAUCUUGGGCAGGCAAUUUUCGUCCAACGAAUUGUUAUUGCUAAUGGAUCAAGUCGUUACAAAUCCUAUGAGCAACUAAAAACCAAGUUUAGUCUUAUCAUUUUUGUUUCUUUAACUAAAAUUAAAAAAAUUGGUUGAGUCUUAAAGCCCUUGAGCUUAGGUUAUAGACUACUUUUAAUUAGUAUUUAUCUUGAAGCAAACCCAAGAGUACAGAUUCUCUGGUAAAUACUAAUUUAAGUAUUUUUCCGUUUAUUAUUGCUAGUUUUCGAGGAGGCAUCCACCCGAGCGUUUCUUGGAUUCCGAAUUUGUAAUAGGCCAAGACGUUCAUGGGCCAACAACUUCAAUGAAAUUUGGCACGAAUUUUAUGGCAACGAACUUGUAUCAGCUCAGCCCUCCAGAGGUAACAAUGGUGGAAGUUAUGUUUAUAGCUAGAAGUGGCAAUACAGCUCGCUGUUCGCGAGUCAGUUCGUGUUCGGUUUGAAAUGAGCUCGAGAUCGAAUCGCUCGUUUAUUAAACGAGCCGAACACCUUGUUUAAUAAACGAGCCGAACACGAGUAGGGAUCAGCUCGCUCGUGUUCGGCUCGAUAACAGCUCGAAUACAUAUUUUUUUAUAUUUAUAAAUUUAUAUUUAUAUAUAAAUAAAUAAUUAUAUAUAUAUAUAUAUAAUACAAAUUUUUAUUAUUUGAUUUUAGCCCAACAUAAAUAUAAAGCCCAACUGAAUUAUAAAAAUACUCAUUUAUAUAUAAAGUUUCAACAAUUACAUCAAAAUCUAUCUAAAUAAUUUAUUUUUUAUAUAUAUCCUUUCUAAUUCUUUUAACUAAUUAUUCGUAAGCCAGCUCAUGUUCGGCUCGUGUACGAACUGAAUUUUUGGGCUCGAUACUUCAACAAGCAUACUCGUGUUCGGCUUGUUUAUGGAACGAGCUAAACAUGAGUCGGCCCUAGCUCGCUCGUACUCGGCUCGUUGACAUUCCUAGUUAUAGCUUACUUGGCUCGGUUGAAGCUUCUACAACUAUUUUGUUUAGCUUCUUAUUUUUUUUCAAAAAAGAGUAAACUAGUUUUUACAGUAGUACGUGAAAAUGAAAACUUCAAAUUGAAGCUUUUGCUUUUCGGACAUUGACACUCAAUUUAGCAUCUGGUUAGAGAAUUUGUUUGUCAAAUUCUCAUGGCUGCUGCUUGAAACAGAAAAGCUGUAUUAGAAUUGUGCGCAUAGCAGAUGGAUUAAAUUCUCUUCUUUCUUUAUCUUCUCAAAAAUAUGUGUAGUCUUGCAGGAUCUAACCCUGGCUAAGAUGCUUGUAAGACCAGGAAGAUGCUUUCCGAAUGAUCCCGAAAGCGAAAACAUGGUCACAGAGCACAAUUACGGGUCGAUUAACCGCGCAUUCGUCGUGUGUAAAGAGGAUAAAGCCAUCGAAGAGGAGUUCCAGCGGUGGAUGAUCGAGCAAAGCCCAGGGAUAGAGGUGAAGGAGAUUGAAGGUGCAGAUCAUAUGGUUAUGCUCUCAAAGCCUCAGGAACUCUGCCUGGAAAUUGGUGAGAAAUACCAAUGAGAAACUGAGAGAACAAAAAAAAAAAAGUGGAUAAAUUUCUGUCGGCCUGUGUGGUUUAGCAUAUUUUUACUUUGCCGCUUCACGAUAAGAAUCUAGUACUAAACAAGAAAAAUAAAAUAAUACUGUUUACAAAAUAUAACGUAAUAAAGUGUAAAUUAUAAAGUGAUAAAAUACUGUAUUAUUAUUACUAUGUGGCUACAAAGAGUGUUCUUUACUAUUCCAUUUAAUAGUAGACUUUUACCGUAAACAAAACUGAAAUUGUAAUAUAAUUUUUUUUUUUGAGAAAGAGAUAGCAAACUACAUGUUUCAUUCAUUAAGCAAAAUAAAUUAAGCGUAGAAGAUGAAGACAGCUAAGGCCUCCUAAAGAAACCGAAGAGGCACAGAAAAAAGACAACAGUAAUUAGGAAGACAAAUGAUUCAGUUGUGCUCUAGAUUUAGCAUUCUUAGGCACAAAAACAUGGCACGAAACAAGGCAUCAAAACAAAUAGAAGAAGCAAACCUCUAUCAUGGUCUUUAAGUUUGCGUCAACUAGCGUAGAACAGAGUUCCAUAAAAAUUUUCGUGUGCCAUGUUUGCUUGUGUGUGUGUGUGUGUGUGUGUGUGUGUGUGUGUGUGAGAGAGAGAGAGAGAGAGAGAGAGAGAGAGAGAGAGAGACUUAGGAUGUAAUAUAAUUUAUUCUUAAAUUGGCAAUAUUGUGAAAAUUACAUGUAAUCAAAUUAUGACACACCAUAUAAUACAUUUUUUUAAUUUCUUUACAUCAUCCGAGCAAAUAAUAUCUUAAUAUACAGGCCAAUCAGAAGCUUUUUAGGGAACACAUGCAGCCUCACCUGCAAACAACUUGCCUUCUCUUAAUGAUUUUAUCCAAAUUCUCCGAAACCAUCGCGGUUAGGUUGUGAUCCUGCAAUCUAAGUUCUGAAUCAAGCCUGAAAAGAUGCAGGAAAAAUAAUCAGCAGCUAAAAAGAAAAACUAAAAAUAAUAAUAAUACUUAGAAUGCUUGCAAAUAAAACAUUUAUUUGCAUCUGCAUAUGUCAUAGACAUCAAGCCUGCAAACUCCCUUCCAUUUGCAUCUGGGAUUGGAUUAAAAAGAGUACGAAGAGACGGGUUUCACAAGAAGAAAGCUGAGACAUUGGGUUUAUUGAAUCUGGCCAAGUAAAAUAAUCCGUUGGAAUGAGAUUAUCAAAUCCCAUCCAAGAGGGUGUCUUCAUAAAAUGGUUUAUCUUUUCCACUACCAAUGCCUUAAAUCGACAAUACUAGGUCUCAGGUGAGCCAAUGGAGGCUAAGAUGGGCCAAUAACAUCAUAGAUCUUGGGUGUGUAAAUAUUUUACAUAUAGAUGCAUAUCUUUGAGACACUGCAGUGUACCACUGGAUGCUUCAGGACAAACACAACCAGCAAAUUAAUAGUACCCAAUUUCUGGUUACAAAAAGGAAAAUUGAAGAGCUGUUAACAUACUUGGGAUCAACUGAUAUCUUCUGAAUUUCUCUGAUGGCCGAACUUGCAGCAUAUAAAGAAAUCUUUCCCACCUGCAGGAGAACUCAUAAAACUGUGAAAUCUAGAAGGGCUGGUACAGCAGAAACUUACUUUUAAGAGGAAUGGAUGAAUUACUGAUGGAAUGCACAGGAACUCUAAGAUCUAGAAGAAACCAGAGCAGAACUUGUGCAGCAGAAACUACUUUAAGAGAAUGAAUCAUUGAUCGAACCUCAAACAUCUUCAGUUUUGCAUCAUGGUCAUUUGGGAGGCAACGAAUCUCUUGUGCCAUACGAGCUGACUCCCCUAAGCUCUCCGGUGAUAAAAAGUCGAGCACCAGUUGAACUGAAGACUGAAAAAAAAAAAAAGGAAGAGAAAAGUAAUUAGUGCAACUAUUGUUGCAAAUGCUUCUGAAAAAAGAACGCUAAUCAUUAUUCCAGCUAAACCAGCAUUAGUGAUGAGCACAUAGCAGUAAGGAUAAAAAAAAGUAGCAUCAAUCAAUGUAAUCUAAUCUGCAUCUAAUAAAUCAAAUUAAGAAAAAUACAUUAAAGCAUGCGACCAAUGUCCAUGCCUUACAUACAGAUGAAUAUAUUAUGAAUGGACAAUGAAUGUGUGAAAGGUCUUUGCUAUCUACAAUAGUAUUCAAUGCAAAAUCAGCUUCCAAAUGGAGAUUGCAAUUGGUCACUGUACUUGUAUCAGAAAUUUUCUCGCUGCUGUCGAUAAUAACUAGCAUAAUAAAAUCAAGACAACUUAAAACUGCUUAAAAAGAGUUAACUCCAUAGCGUAAAGUGCACACGAUAAGAACAUGUAAAAUGCAUGAUUCUUUUAAGCAACUAUAUAAUAAUGCACACAUGCACUUCAGUUAUGAAGUGUUGUUAUAAGUUCAGCAAUCAGGAAAGAAGAAAACCUACUCACUCAGGUUUGAAGACCAAAGGAAUUAAUUUGAACUCUUCAAGAUGGAAAUUAAGGGAAGGUAGACACUCUGGAUGGCAGCAGGGAAGCCUCUGAAGUCCGAAGACUUAACAUUUUCCUAUUAUGCUCUUUUUUUUUAUUUGUCUCAUAUUGUGCAUUUCACAUAUCUGUAACUAUACAAGUGUAUCCAUGCACAGUAAUUUUCUAGCUUUCUAGUUAAAACAAAAACAAAGAAAAAAUUACCUACUUCUCUAAAACAGAGAUGCCGUGAGAGAAUGGCAGUUUAUCUUCACUAUCUAUUAUGCUAAAGAGAAGCACAUGAAGAAGGUAUGUCAAACAAACAUUUCCUCUAAAAGCUUGAGCUACAAGAAAAAAGCACAUGAAUAUUUUAUCCAGAACAAUCCUAAAGUCUAGGCUCACGACUUCUAUACAGAUCUAAGAUCGAGACUCUGAACUAAUGGGUGGUGCUGUGGUGACUGUUUUCUCAAUGAAAUAGUGAAUGAGCAUCGUGGGAUUCGAAACAAGCACCUCCUGCACUAAUAUCAAUUUACAAACAUUUCUCAAAAUCUACUAAAGAAUGACAUGAUAAAUUUUGUACUUAAAAGUGGCCCAUCAGAUUUUCCUUCCCACAGGAAUAUAAGCAUGAUUAUAUUACAGGCCAAGAUUUUACUUCAAUAUUUUCAGAGUUGACUGAUAUAUAUAAUUUUAUGAACGAUGCCAAGAGUGUGAGAGUUCAGAAGCUUUCACCAGAAGAAAUUUAACUUGGAAAGGGCAUCCAGCAGGAAUAAACACAGCUUCCCCAACAUGCUGUCUGAACGUCCAGGGUUCUAUUCCUGUAAGGUUCCAAAAUGCAAAGAUUGGUCAAGGCUAGAGAUAUUCGAGAUAUUUCUACUUCUGGAUUUGAUAACUGAGAAAUUUGUUAAAUGACCAAAGAAAACAUGAAAGUGGUUGUGGGGAGGAGGUAUUAGGUUUGGGGUGUUAAUUUAUAUUGAUGAAAUUAGAGGUUUAGAGACCUGAACAUGCACUUCUUAAAGCACAACAAUUCUUCAACAAGUUAAAAAUGGAAACUAGUUCAGAUACUUCUACUUACCGUACUCUUUUUUUAACAUCCUUUUUUGAUCUUUACUUAGGACUAUAGCUUGAUCAUAAACAGGGUGAGUAAUCUGCGAACAAAGUACAACAACCAUUAGACCUUGAUUUAGACAAGUAUAUUUUCAGCAUUAUUUGCAUGCAGAAAACUUAAUUUACCGAAUGAGGACUAGUAGUUUUAAGUUCCAUAAAAUGAGCCCUUAAAUAUUCAUUCAGCUUUGGGACAUCCUGCCUGCGGAAUACAUCCCAAACAGCACCACCCAGAGAACAGUCUGAAGCAUCAAUUCUUUUUCUCUCUAAGCGACAAGAGUCGUAGGCUCUCUUUUCUACAGAAGCAAUUUCAGGACCAUUGCAUAAUUCAUUCUCAACAAUAUUCUCUUCUUUAUAUCUGAAGCCAAAAACAUUUUCCUUCUCUCUAUGUUCUCUUUGUGUUAGAUCAAGUGCGUGUGUCUUCCCAUCUAGAUACAUGUUAUCAGAUACAUGUGCAGUCCCCGUUGAUCUUUUGGCAUUAAUUUCCUUGGAGAUCUUCUCACUUUGGACAGUUCCACACCUCUUGAGAGAUUUACUAUGCACAUCGGCUGUGUGCAUCAACAUAUAAGCCUGUAAUAACCAAAUGAUAAUGUCCAUUUAGUUACUCCAUUUCUUCAAAUAUUAAAAAAAUGUAAGAAUAUAAAGCUAAAAGUGACCUACUAUGGCAAGCUAAUUAUUCUUGACGAAUCAUUUGGCAAAUUGAUCUACCAGAAAAAGGAAAACAUACACACCAAAUCAUUUCAUAGGGUUUCCAGAGAGAAGCCUUAAAUGGUUUACAGUUGAAGGACAAUGAAGCCUUCGAAGAUGAAGUAAUCUCAAAGAAUCAUUUAUCAGAUGCGUAUAAACGGCGGUAUUACAAUCAGCAGAACUUAACAGCAUAGCAAGCCAUUAGCAUGUGAUACUCUGAAAAGAAAAUUGAGUUUAAAAAUUAAGCAACAAAAAAAUUAAGCAGUGCUGGGAGCAGCAGUAGUCUCGGCAAACUUCUGCAUUAUGCUUAGCAUUUAAGAAAUUCAAUUUAAACUAAGGCAUAUUAUUCUUAUACCAAGGAUAACAUGUUGUAUAUGGCUAGAUAAUCAAACAAAGUUAUUUUGUUAUAAUCUAGCAAAACAGGAGUCAACACAUAAAUAACAAAUAGAUGAACAAGGGUAUUCUUGCUGUUAAAUUUAGUGGUGGAUAUUUAUUAAUAAAAACAUUUUUAUUGAAGUGUUAAAGAUGAAGAGAAAAUACUCAAACAAAAAGGAGCAUAAAGGACCUACCACAUCACCCAUAUUAAUCUGGAGAUUGGAUACAAAAUAAUCUCUAUCAAGCUCUUCAUGAAUUCCAUAUGCAAUUAACAGCUUGGGAGCUCCUUCAGACUGUAUAGUAUCAUGGGGCAAUUUGGCAGCAAGAUUCAAAACACCCCAUUUAGAAUGAAUAAAAUCAACUAACGGAAAAUUCACAAGAAAUUCAGGUCUAUGGCACACUAAGAACUCCUCUAGAAUAUUUGGAGCUGGCCAGUCUUUUAGUUUCAACAUCAGUGAUCUACCAUCCACAAGUAUACGCCCAUCGGAAUAUCCUUUUAUGAAUUUAUUCAUUUCAAUAUCAACCUGUAAGAUUUUAAAAUCCAUUAACAAAUUAAUUUCAGCAACCACAAAAUGAUCUAAAAAAUUUUCUGAAAGAGAUCAAUGAAGAGAUUAAGGGGACUUCUGCUUUUGUUCCAUAGGACCAUUUAGCUAAACAUCCUUCAUUAAAUGUAAUUGAUCGUUUAUCGCAACUUUCCUUGUAUCCUAUAAGGAUACAGAGUUUCAACAGAACAAUUUUCACUAAAUUUAACUAUCCUUUUACUUGCAUACCUUCCCUAUACCCUACAAUGAUAAAAAGUUUCAACAGAAACAUAUGUAAGUUGCACUACUAAAUAGUUUUCUAUGCAAAAAUAAAAGCAGAAGUUGAGAAUAAUUAAUAAGCAACAUUGCUUGCAGUGUUUGAACAUGUAAAAAGAUUGCCUCGAGGUAUGACCAUAUUCUGGGCAGUGAGGGGCGUGGAGCAUUCCACAUUCGCAUAUGUAAGCUUUUUUCAACCCCUUAAAAUGCAUCUAAUUUUUUGUAUAGCCCUCUCAAGUUGAAGUUUCUGCAGACUCUUUCAAAUAUGGCACCCUUGCACAGAUGCCCAUCCACGAUUGUCCAUACAAAACAGUAAAUUUUAAUUUAAAAGAGCAAAAUGACCAUUAUAACCGUAAUAAUUUAUAUAAAUGCGCCCAAAAUCUAGGUAGGCACCAUGGCACCAAUAAUGGCAUCUUUACAAGACCAUAUAGUCUAACUCAUGACCAGGGCUAUAGUUGGGAUUUAACCUCAGUCAAACAAAAGAAUUUUUAUGCCAUUGUACAAAGGAAUGCAUGAGAAACAACACUAUUUAAAAGGGCAUUUAGUGAAAUACACACUUGCGAGGGGAAUACAAAAUGCACUUUUAUAGGGAUAAAUAUAUGCAAAACCUUCGGCUUCCACACCGAUACCCAAUAUGUUUACUUCAACAAAUAGGCAUUAAGUUGGGUCAUUUGCGCAGCUUGAUCAACAACAGAAAUGAGAAACCAGCCAGUGAGCUAGACAGCAACAAUUUGGUAAGAAAGAUGGAAUGAUGGAUACAAAGUAAUGAAAUACCAAAUAUUAGCAUGCCACUUCUUAACAAUUAAGAUACAUGCGAACAAGCACAGAAGGAAAACUUGACAAGACCAUCCAAUAAUGGAACCAGAUAAGAAAUAUUUAUUAAGUUCUACGUAUUAUUAUAUGCAAGACUGUUAGAAGAGCUCUAGCGCAUUAUAUGGUACAACUAACCUACAAAAAAAAAAAAAAAAAAAAAAAAAAACUACUAGUCAAGACAAUGAAUUAUCAACUUAAGGAAUUCAAUAGAGAAAAUUAAUAAAAUGUAUGGUCCAAUCCUUGUUCUCACCUCUGAUUGGUUCACGCAAUUCACAGCCUUGACAAUCAAAUCAUGGUUGAUCUUUUCAUCUGUUGUCUCCUGGAUUCCCCUCCAAAUACUUAAUGGAUCCCAGCUUGAUGCCAGCGAACGCUCAAAUGCAUGUCUAAUAAUAACCGGCUCACCUUUGAUCCAGUGCUUGUGAAAAUGACCAAUGCCUUCAUGCUUUACAUCGUCUAACAUUGGGCAGUACAAGGAGUUGUCACUGCUUCCUUCUCUGUUAGAGCACCGGAAAAGACUAAAAUCACUUGAGUCUUUUGACUCCAAACUCCUAAUACCUUUGCAAGAAGAACACCUAUCAGAAUAGUCCAAAUCACGUACUUUACAUCCCUUAACCAUUUCCUCAGCAUUUUUAACAAGUUUACCAAUCCAGUUGACUUUAAGUAUGCGUCUUAAAACCAAUUUUGAGGAGCCACAACCACCAGCAUCAGCUCCACAAGGAAUGCUACCAUCAUUCUUGGCCUUCCAUGCAGGAAAUAGAUGAGCAAAAUCAAUUGUAUUUUCAUCUGCUAUCCAAGAUAGCGACUUAUCGUUGGUUCUUUUAGCAUAUUGUUCUGCCCUAGUUGUUGCAGCAUCAAUAUCUUUACUUCUCUCCGGAACCUGAAGUUCAACGAACCCCCCUUCCAGACUGAUCAAGGAUCCUCGUCGAAUAUCCCGGCAACAGGUCAAGCAUAAAUCAUAUAAACAUUUUGUACAGUGUCGAUGAUAAUCAAAAACAGGGAUUUUGCAGAAAUCACUGCAGGAAAGAAUAUUUUAAUGAACACAGAACCUCUCAAAUAAUGAAAGAAAAGUAACUACUAGCUAAAUGUAUUCAGGCUUUUACCACUAAUAUUGCUAGGAAAUAAAAGUAGAGAUUAUUGCGUACCAGCACAUCUGCUCAUCUGCAUUUACUUUUGCCCUGGGAAUAUCAACUUUGGGUCCUAAAAUAAUGCAUACAAUCAAUAAUGGAAGCAAAUUGAACAGAAAAAGUUGCAAUAACAGUGAAAAAUUGCCAGAAAGCAAUUGGGACCCUAAAAUACCAUAAAUUCUUGUUUCCACUCCCAUUUCAGAGCAUUGUUCAGCAUAGGUUUGCUUAAGCACAGGGAGAACAAAGACUAGAAGGCUGUGAAGAUAUCUUAACUUAUCUAUGCCAGGAAUCUCCUGUACCUUGGCCUGAAUAGAAAAUUACAGUUCGAUAAUUAAUUAAAAAGAUGUUUAAAAAUAAGAUUGUAAGGAAGCGACGUGAGAAACAGUGGCAUAUCUAAACUACAAAUGAAGAGUAUGAAGCACCUUAAUCAAAUUAUCUCCUCGUAAGCAGAUUCUGCAGUUGCAAAUACCACGGCAUGCCGGACAAACCUUCCGUAUUUCCUCCAGUGGAAUCUCCGCAUACCUAUUAUGUAAGUUCCAACAGGAGACAUAAUAGAAAACGAAUAUUGGAGGUCAAUGUAACUUAUCUCUAACAUGGAAAUCAUAACUAGCAAAGAAGAACACAACAAUGUACAGAAUCAACCACAUGAUUAAUUGAAAGAUCUAUAUUACUUGAAAAGCAAAAACACGAGAAAAAUUCAUUAUCCAUCAGGCAUGGCAGCAGGUCCACAAAGAUAACUCCUGCAUAGAAGUUACAAAUGGUAAUAGCCUAUCUGCAGGUUGAAAUACUAUAUCAAUAGCGUACGUUUGUGUGUGGCGAUCAGGAUAACUAAGAAGAAUUUUGAUGCAAAUCCUUCCCAAUCAAAAUCUCAGGAAUACAGUUAUCAACUGAUACAUCCCAACUCAAGAUAUUCAAGUAGGGAUGCCACAUCAUACUUCUUGGGAAGAGUAGCAAUUAUUCUCGUCUUUUAUACUAUUCCAACACACCAGAAUUACUCCGUUUAUAAGCUUUUCCUUACUCCUCUCAGAAAGGAGAAUUAACUCCUAGCAUAUAGGAGAAAUAAGGAAGAGAUUUGGGGGACUAGAAGCAAAAAGGCUCUUAUCAUUUCCAUUAUUACGGAAACAUGGAAAUCAUUAAUUUCACUGGCAAAUCUCUUAUUUUGGUGCCAAAAGCUUAAAAAGUUCAAAAGGACGGUUCAGAGCUGAAGAUCGACAUUGUUUGAUAUGAUCAAGAUUCAAGAGUAUGUAAAGUUAAAAUCAUAAACCUCAGUGCAAUGUUAAGUACCAUCUUGAAAUGCAGACGCCACAGUAUCCCCUACGCUCGCAGCUAAUACACCAUACCACCCUAUCACUCCUCCGGCACUGAUGGCAAAUUAACCCCUUGACUGCGCCAUAAGAAUCAGCACUUCUCCCAAAAUACUCCUAUCGCAUAAUCAUCAAUAGUGUAACUUCUUGAGUAGAAAUUCAACAUUUCUAGUUAAAUGGGAAGUGCUAUGAUAAAACGCAACAAAACUCACCCCUGCACCAGUCGCACCGAAGCUCUUCACCUCCUUACUGUAAGGCGAGCUGUACACCGACCUCGCCCUAUUCUCCUCUGCCUGAGUGCCAUCACUCGGCAGCUCAUCAUUAGGUCUAUUAAAACCACCGUGUGGGAGAGAACCCCUCAUCACCAUCGACCCAGCGGAGUAUGCCGCGACCCCCUUUGGCAUCCUCUCCUUGUACUUCAUCACCGGCGACAACGACCUCGUCAACCCCGACUCACCAUGCUUUCUCUCCAAGUAGAUGUCGGCAUCCGCAUCUGCAUCCGCAUCGGCAUCGCCGAGCGACUUCCUCCUAGCCUUCUUGAGGCUGGCCCGCAGGGCCGAAUUCGCCGCCCGCUUCUUGGCCUGUAUGUAGUGCUUCUCGCAGACGGUCUUGUCGGGCAUCGACGGCGCGCUGCACCGCCACUGCUUUCCAUCCGAUCUCUUGCACCUCAGAUCCUCCGGGAUCCCCGCAUUAUCCUCCAUACUCCCACCCCCUCCCCCCCAACCUCCGCGCCUUCAAACCCUCCAAAACCCUAAUCCCGACCCCAUCAUCCAAUCCAAAACCGAUCGAACGAUCAACGAAUCCCUAACACUAGCUCAAAACAACUAGAUCACACGACUUCCGCGACGAUCCACGGGCCCGCCCCGGAACAAGAUCGAAAAACAAAAUUCACAUAAUCCGCGAAAAGCAACAAGGAAUUGGAGAAUCGAAGCAGAGGGAGGGGGAGAAGCUUACCUUGGGAUCGGCGAAUUAGGGUUUCGGCGGGCGUCGUAAAGGAGGGGGGAUCCGAGCGAGGUGUCGGCGACGGGGACUACUCGGAAAGGGUAAAUAAAAAGGGGAAAGGCGACGCAUACGCGAAGGGUGAAGUGUCGCUGCGGAGGUCUCCAUACAUCCACACAUACAUACAUACAUACGAAGCUUUGGGGGGGAGUACGGAACCGAGAGAAAGGAGAAAGGCAACCGCCGAGAGUCGCCGAAAUUACGAAAAUACCCCUGGAACGUUGGUGGUUGUGGUGGCGGAAGCGGUGGUGGGAUUGUGGAGAAGAGUAGGGGUAUUUUGGGAAUUUUGUCUGGGGGAGCUGUGCACAAAGAGUGGGACGUUGUUGACUUGGAGGACCAUAGACUGUAGGAAGCACCAGCAAGUAAACGUCUGUUGUUGGCAUUAGUUUGGUAAUCCAUUUGAGACUAGGGAAAAGGGCUUUUUUUUGCAAAUAGCCUCUUAAAAAAAUUUUAUUUUCAAAAUAAUUUUAUUAAAAUUUAAUUUAUAAAAUGGCUAUGACCCUGCCACGUAGGCACCACGCCAGCGCCACGCGGACAGGACUAGACCAGUGUGUUAAGUUGAAUACGAUGAAUCAUUCACCGUUCAAAUCAUUUACCGUGUUCAAACACGGUGAAUCAUUCACCGUUCACCGUGUUUGAACACGGUGUAUUUAUAUUCCUUUUCUUCUCUUUUAGAGAUGUCAACUGGUCGGGUUUGGAUCGGGUUUUAAAAAAUUUGAAUCUGAAUCCGAAAAUCAAAUUAAAACUCGAACCCGAAUCCGAACCCAACGGGUUUUAAAAAUUCAUACCCAUAUAACUUUAACAUAUGGAUAUAGAUAUGGAUUUUUAAAACCCGCCGGGCUCGGAUUCGUGUUCGCAUUUUAAUUUGAUUUUCGAAUUUGAUUUCGGAUUUUUAAAAACCCGAUUCAAACCCGACCCGUUAACAUCUUUAAAAGAGAAGAAAGGGAAUAUAAAUAUACCGUGUGAAACACGGUGAAUCAUUCACCGUAUUUGAACACGGUGAAUGGUUCACCGUGUUCAACUUAACACACUGGCCCCAGUCUUGCUCGCGUGGCGCUGACGUGGCGCCUGCGUGGCAAGACCAGGGUCAUUUUUGCAAAUUAAAUUUUGACAGAACUAUUUUUAAUAUAAAAAUUUGCCCGGGGGCUAAAUUGAAAAAAAGCCCUAGAGAAAAUGUAUCUGUGUAUCAUAAAACAAAAAUAAUUAUAAUAAAAAUAAUAUUCUAUUUAUUUUAUAGGGAUAAUUUUCUACAGUUUUAUAUAAACAUAUCAAAUAACAGAUUUGUCCCUACAAAAUUUAAUUUUUCAUAUUUAUUUAACGUUUUCAAAUAUAUCCCUAUUGUCAGAAUCUGUUAGAGAACUAUAAAUAUUCAUAGAUGAAGAGUGAGGCUACUAUGCUAUCGGAAGUACGGAGCCUUCUGUGCUUCCAGCUCGUUUUCGAUGUUGCGACUUUCGAAUCGUCAAUCGGCUCCGUUAAACUUGAUCUAGAGUAUUUGGAGUAUCUAGAAAAUAAAUUUUAUUGUUUUUCGAUAUCAUUUGCCUAGUGAUCGAAUGGACUCAAAAUUAAUAAAUUUCAAUGGCCGUAGUGUGCCGUUUGCAAGUUUAACGGUGUAGAAAUAUCCAAAUCACAUGAAAUUUUGAUAGAAAAUUCUUUAUAUUAUAUAAAACAAGAUCAAUAUCUUUGAUUUAAAAUUUUAAUAUCAUAUUAUUACAUUUUGUAAGAUUUUUAUUUUCAGCCGUUGAUUUUGAGCCCCUUCGUUCACUAGGCAAAUGAUAUCGUAAAAUCAUAAAAUUUAUUUUCUAGGUACUUCAAAUACUCUAGAUCAAAUUUAACGGAGCCGAUCGACGAUUCGAAAGUCGCAACAUCGAAAACAAGCUGGAAGCACAUAAGGCUCCGUACUUCCGAUAGCAUAGUAGCCUCACUCCAUAGAUGAAAUACUUAAUCCUGAUUAGUAAAUAAGAUAAAUUGAUUUUUUUACCCUUUUUAUAUUUAUGAUGGCAAAAAUAAUAUUUUAUUUAUAAAGAAAAAAGAUGACCAUUGAAAAUUUUUUGAAGGAUAUUUGAAAAGACAUAUUUGUAAUGGCAAAGAUAUCAUUUCACUUACCUUCUGUUAAAAAUAAAUAGUAAUUUAACAGUAACAGAUCAGAAAAGCAAAUAUAAAUAUCACUGGGCUUUCACUUAUCUUCUGUUAGAUACUUCUCUUAUCUUUAUAUUAGCUUGUAAAUUGACAGGAUACUAACCCCGGUUAGGAGUUAUUUGGUUUCAUGUGGGCAGUCGGACAGAACUGCACUGUAAUUUUAAUUGUAUACAAAUUCAAAUUAAAUAUUUGGUUUAAUACAUUUGAAGCAAUUGUUUAGCCAAAGUCACACAAGAAAAUCCGAAUGCAACAACUAAAAAUACGUCCAAGUUGAUCUCAGUUCCAAUUGCUAAAUAUAACUAUGCUCAAAUUGUUCAUAACUGGUAUUGCAAUAAUUAAAGACAAUAAAUUUAAAUGAAAGAUAAGCAUACCUAUAUAAUCACCUUUUAAACAAAUUUCUUUUCUAUAUUAAGGUAAGUUAAAUCCGCCUAUAAUUCUACUUUUCCAAAAUGUCAUAAUUGCCUCUACCCUCAGUAGUGCCAAAGUGAAUUACAGAAGAGAGAGACAAAAACAAAAUAAUAAAAGAAUUGAUUGUUGUGAUUUUUUUCAUCCUCUUAUGGACUAGUAUAAAAUUUUUAAGAAAAUAAAUAAAUAAAAAUAAUAAAAAAAUAUGCAGUUAUGAUGAUACGGGUCUCCUAAGGUUGAAUGGGUGGUUGGUUGAAUAUUAUAAUUUAAUGGGUAAAAAUAAUCAAAGUGGUUAAUCUAACGGUAGAAAACUUUAUAGCACCAAGUGCUUGGUGCUAUCAAUAGCAUAGCAGCCGGACUAUAUAUAUAUAUAUAUAUAUAUAUAUAUAUAUAUAUACUAUUAUAUAUAUAUAUAUAUAUAUAUAUAUUAUAGUAUAUAUAUAAAAUUAGUACUAUGCCUUAUAUAAUAGCACAAAGUUCAUAGUGCUACCAAGUUUUUAGCCAUUGGAUUAAGAGAUAUGUGGUGUAGGAUUGAUGUGGGCCCCUAGGUUGAGUGAAGUGGUUGGUUGAAAUAGUAUGAUCUAACGGAUGAAAAUGAUCAAAAGAAUAGAUCUAACGGCGGAAAACUUGGUAGCACCAAGUGCUUCGUGCUAUUAAUAGUAUAGUAGCCGAACUCUCUCUCUCUCUCUCUCUCUCUAUAUAUAUAUAUAUCCUUACAAAGAGUUCAACUUCUAAUAUUUAUUUUUACAAAAAUUUAAACAUUUUCAAAUAUACUCUUACUGUUAUGAUCCAUUAGAAAAAUGUACUUAACUAUAGAUAAAAUACUUAAUUUGAUUAGUGAUGAAGUAAAUUGAUUUUUUUACCUCUUUUAUAUUAUUUGUGAUAGCAGAAAGAAAUAAAAUGGUCGUUAAAAAUUUUUAAAAGAAUAUUUUUGUAUAAUUUUAAUAGUUGAAGUUUUUGAAAGAUAUAUUUAUGGUGGCAAAAAUAUUAUUUUACUUAUUUUUUAUUAAAAAAUAACUAAUGCUAUAUAAAUUAGAAGGAUAAAUAUAAAUAUUAUGAAAGUUUUAUAAAAUUAAAUAUAAAAAUUUAAAUUUUAUAGAAAUAAAUUCGCUGUGCUUUAUACUUAUUAUUAUAUAUGAAACUCAAUGAAAUUAACUUUAUUAUAAAAUUUAUAUAGUGUAUACUAGUCUAUAAAUAAACAAGUUCUUAUAUACGGACAAAAAUUUGAUAGACAUAGUCUCCAAACAUAAUAUUUUAAAAAUUAUCCGGAUUAGCAUAAUGCGGCAAGCCGAGCUUAUCUCAAUCAUCCAAUAAAAUAAAACUUUAAAAAUUUUAAUUUUUAAAAAAUAAUAUAAUUUUUAAACGGUUGAGAUAAAUACAACUUGCCACGGGCGCCGAUCCGAACAAUUUCCAAAUUUUUAUGUACAGGGACUAUGUACGCCAAAUUUUUGUCCCUUAUAUAUACAUCGUUAUUGCGCACCAACUGUCCCUAGAGCAAGUGGCAAAGGGCUUGGUGGUUGGUAUUCGAGACCCAAGUUCGAAUUUUAGUUGAUUCAUAUUUCUUACUAAGUUUAUUUCUAAAUGAAAUAAACGAAGCGGAUAGCUUGCUAGCUAUUUCUAAAAAAAAAAAUAAAAUACAUCCUUGUUGCGCCGCCAUAGUGCCUUAGUCGAACACGUGUCGAUUCCGAGAUUAUCCACGGAAAGAGCUUCAGGGGCACUUCCGUAAUUCUACGCUGUAGGAUUAUUAUAUAAACAACCGAUCUCCUCACCGCUCGUAAGUGCUGCUCUUCAUCUAUUCUCUCUCUUUCUCUUUAUUCCUUUCCUCUUACUCGAAACCUCUCUCCAAUCUCCUAGCCCUAACCCUAGAUUCCUCCUCGAUCUCCGCCUCCCAUGGCGCACAGGAUCCUCGAGGUCACCCUGAUCUCGGCGACGGACCUCAAGGACGUGAACCUCUUCUCGAAGAUGGAGGUCUACGCCGUCGUCUCCAUCUCCGGCGAUCCCCGGACGCGGCAGCGAACGCCGGCCGAUCGCUCCGGCGGCCGGAACCCUCGCUGGAACGCCACGCUCCGCUUCGCCGUCCCCGACCCCGUCGCCGGCGACCUCCGCUUCCUCCUCCGCACCGAGCGCGCCCUCGGCGACCGCGACGUCGGCGAGGUCCGCGUCCCCCUCAAGGAGCUCCUCGGCGGCGACGGCGGCGGCGACGCCCCACGAUCCCCCCGAGUCGUCUCGUACCACGUUCGCAAGAUCGGAUCGGGGAAGCCGAGGGGCCUCCUCAACCUCUCCUACAAGCUCGCCGAUCGAAUCGCCGCUCCGGCCGCCGCCGACGAGCCCGUCAUGGCGUACCCCGGGGUAUGGGGCCGCCGCCCAUAGGCAUGCCGCGGCGGCUACCCAUAGGCAUGCUGGGGCCGCCGCCUAUGUCGCCGCGCGGCAUAGGCAUGCUGCCGGCGAGGCUCAUGCCGCCGCGCCGCAUAGGCAUGCCGCCGCCGCCGCCGCCCAUGCCGCGCCGCCUCGGCCGCNUACUCGGAGCGGCCGUCGUACGGAUACGGCGCGCCGCUGUAUCCGCCGCCGGGGUCGUACGGAUACCCAUCGGCGGCGCCGUACGGAUACCCGCCGCCGGGGUAUGGGGCGGCUCCGCAGCGGCCGAGGCGGAACAAUUUGGGGAUGGGGCUCGGGGCGGGGCUCCUCGGCGGGGCCCUCGGGGGGCUCCUAAUCGGCGACAUGUUCUCCGAUGGCGCAGCGUAUGACGCCGGUUACGAUGCCGGGAUCGGCGAUGGCGGCGGCUUCGACGGCGGGUUCGGCGAUGGAUUCGACGGUGGAUUCGGCUUCUAGUCGUGUUAAGGUUAGUUCGUUGCCUCUCUCUAUAUAUCUUCUAUUUGUUCCUGACUACAUAUAUUUAUAUGCUUGUUAUCUUACUGAAGUUGUGUAUAUGUGCAGAUGAUGCUUAAGUUCUAACGAAUAAUAUCACUCAAAUUUUCUAUAUUUCUUGGCUGAUGAUAUUAGUAAGAUUACUUUUAUGAAAUUAGAUUAAUUAAUUUUGUAUAAGUACUUAAUUGUGGUCGCAUUCUAAGUUUUCUGCAGUAAUAGUAAAAUUUUGUACGUAAUUAUUGUAAAUUUUUAUUUUUGUUGCUCUUCAGCAUUAAAAUUUAUGCAGUGGAGGAAUCUAGAAGAUGGAGGAUCUUUUUUAUUAGUUAAGGGUCCCCGUUUGAUUCAAUGUAAACUGUGAGAAAUAGUUUUUCGUGUAAAUUUUCGGUGAAAUUUUUUUUUAACGUUUUAUAGUGGUUGUUUGGUAGAAAAAAUAAUAAUUUAUUAUUUACACUUAUUUGGUUGGAAAAAAUCACAUUUGUUUGAUUUAGUAGAGAAAAAAUGAAUGGAAAAAUUUUACGCGGCUUGAAUUUUCAUUUUAAUCGAAAAAUUUUAUUUUUUUCUUCAAAUCCGUAAAAAUAUUUUUAUGUAUUUUUUUGUUGAACUAAAUAAGCGAAAAAAUAUUUUUCAUACAGAAAAUAAUUUUUCAAUUCGUUUUAGACUUCGUUUGGGAUUGCAGGGAAGUUGCUUUAUGUGCGGUGGGAAAGUACGUUGGCCUGUUUGUUUUCGUACGUAAUAUUGCGUUUUGCAUAUCGAUGAAUCGGUUACAAUAUAUUUUCUGCGGUUCCACCGGAGAACAUAAAAGCAUAUUUCUAUAUACUUUUUGAUGCCAAAAUUGAAAUUAACAUGCCGACCUAUUCCACGUAUGAUCCAAUAGGGACACGUGGUACAUCAGGGGUCGGCAAUAAGGCACCUGAAGGGGUCUUUCUCCCCCCUGAACGAGAAGACCACUCUAUUUUUCUUGCAAUUUUAUCGUUUUUCUAGGAGUAGUCUAAAUGUCAUUUUCUCUUUUUCGCAUUUACUGUUUUUGUAGGAGUAGUUUUUAAGUAGAACUCUGGAGUCUGUCUGCCCUAUGGGCAUCUCUCCGUUGUAAACUACAUAUUUAUAGAGUCUGUAUGCCCUUCGGGCACACUCUGUUUUAUUAAUAUAUAUAUAUUUAGGCAUUUGGCUCUUUCAGCCGAUCAGUCAUUGUAUAUUUUAUUUAUUCGGCUCUUUCAGCCGACCAGUUACUGUAUACUUCUUCUAUUUGGCUCUUCUGCCGACAUUGAUCUCUGCAUAGUUCAUACAUUCGGCUUCUCCAGCCGAACCAGUUUUAUAGUAAAGAUUUUCGGACACGGCUGGCUCGAUUUCUCGUCAGCCGAAUCGCUUGAUCUGUCGAAGGGCGCAAAUUUCGAGGGUCACUAUCCGCAGUCGUUUCUCACCCCGACGCGCUUCUCGAGGAGUAUCUUUGACAGGGUCAAGGAUCGGAAAAUUCAGCAACCAACAACGCUUUUUUCACAACUCUGUUAGAUAGAUCUCAAUACCAAACUAAACUUUAGUCUACCAAACACCUCAUCAGGUUGGUGAGUUAAGUGAAAAAUUAUUUUUGAAUAAUUUAAAAUAAAAGAAAAUUAGGAAAAAUACUGAAGGGAAAAGAAAAAGAAAAUCGUGCUGGGCCACUGGAAUAGUUGGUACUUGGGCUAAACCGCUCGUUUAUAAUCCGUUAAAAAUAUUAUAUUGAAUUUUGAUGGUAAAGUACUUACCAAUUUUACCAUCAAAUAUUCAGUGCGAUAAAAGAAUUUUGUUGUUGCUGCGCCUUUGAGACUUUGUAAAACUUUGUAAUUAUGGAGCUCACUAAAUAAUAAAGGGGCAAUUGAUUAUAUAUUCUCGUAAAAUUUUCGACUUUUUAAUUUAUCCUUCUUAGAAGACUAAUAUUAAAAAUACUAUUUCUACGUUCCAACAUAUUUCUAAUAUACCACUAAUGAUGCGUUUGGUUCGCAUUAUGAAAGAUUAUUAGGAAUAAAAGAUAUUCGAGAAUCUUAUUCCUAUUUAUUCUAUUACUAAGAAUGUGGAAUUCCUGUGUUUGGUUCGCACGGUAAUAUUAAUUAGCCAUGUUAUUUAAUAUUACAAAAAAUAUACAAUUAAUUAAUUUAUUUAUUUAUUUAAUUUUAGAUAAUGUUAUUAAAAAUUUCAACAUCUAUUUAGAAAAAAGGGAGAGAGAGAGAGUAUAAGAUAGAGAGAGUAGAAAGAAAAAUAUAGUCGAAAUUAGAGGGAAUGAGAGAGUUGAAAUUUUAGAAAGAGAGAGAGAAAGUUUAGUUUAGAGAGAGAAAAAAAAGUUGAAUUUUAGAGGGAAAAAUAAGUUUAGAGAGAUAUAUAGUGUUAGAGUGUAAAGAAAAAUAAUAUCAAUUAGCCGGCGAGUAGGAAGAAAGAAAGAGAUUAGACAUAUUAUGAUUACCCCAAUCCAUUAAUAUGAGGAUACCCACCCUCCCUCAAGGGAAUGAGAUUAGUUCUUUGGGGUGAAUCUUAUUCCCAAGUGAAUCCAAUAUUACCAACUAGAUUACUUAGUGCGUUUAGCCAAACACCGUCAUAUUUUUUUAUUUUCAUUGGAUUAUUAGGAAUCUUUAAAAGAUAGCGCGAACCAAACGCACCCUAUGAGCAAUCCUCUGAAUAGAGGUAAAUUGCCAGUUUUUUUUAAUACAAGUUUUUCCUUUUUUUUUUGUUAAUAAGAUUUUCUUUGGAUUUUGUGAAUUUUAUGAUGAUGGAGU
rnacentral:lncRNA from 1 species